rnacentral:rRNA from 1 species
UACGAAGGGUGCAAACGUUGCUCGGAAUUAUUGGGCGUAAAGCGCACGUAGGCGGCAUCGCAAGUCCCAUGUGAAAGCCCACGGCUUAACCGUGGAAGUGCAUGGGAAACUGCAGUGCUUGAGUACUUAAGAGGAUCGCGGAAUUCCGGGUGUAGCGGUGGAAUGCGUAGAGAUCCGGAAGAACACCGGUGGCGAAGGCGGCUUACUGGCUCAUUUCUGACGCUGAGGUGCGAAAGCGUGGGGAGCAAACAGG